AGUGGGAACGGGAGCGUGCUGCGGAGAAGGAAAAUUCCAGGGGAAUUGCCACGAGAGGAAAUACUUCAGAGGGGCUUCCCUCCAGCUAAGCCCUGAAUAUGCCAGGAGGUUUCAGCCGGGAGGAAAGGAGCUGUGGAAGAAAAGCAGCCUAAAAAUAGCCAGCGGGGAUCAUCAGGUUUUCCAGCCAAGAAGAACAAGGAGAGAGAUGAGGGAAUCGGGUUCCAAUUCCUAAUGAUUUGGUGGGUGCAGGAAUGAUUUGUGUGUGUUUUCCAGUCCCUUUUGAUUCCUGAGAUGAUUUGAAAAUGAUGGCUUUAGCAAUCAACUAAAUCGGAGGUGUUGUUUUUGAGAGGAAAUGAUGCCAAAUAAAUGCAGAGUUUUGGGUCAGUUUUUGGGAUGAUUUGAGUCAGUUUUUGGGGUCAGUUUGGGGUCAUUGUUUGGGGUGAUUUGGGUCAGUUUUGGGUCAGCUUUUGGGGUGAUUGGGGUCAGUUUUGGGUCAGCUUUUGGGAUGAUUUGGGUCAGGUUUUGGGGUCAGUUUUGGGUCAGCUUUUGGGGUGAUUUGGGUCGGUUUGGGGUCAAUUUUUGGGGAGCACUGGGUGUUACUGGGGGUUGUUGGGGAGCACUGGGUGUUUACUGGGGAGCACUGGG